CAGGGAAAUCAGACAAGCGUUUAUCGAGUCCCAAAAAGUUGUUGGUAGGUAGGGCAUAGAGGGCAGCCCCUGCAUAGAGCGUUUUUUCCUGCCGUUGUUAGCUUGCGUGAGUCGUCAUUGGUCGCGUCGUUUGUCGUCACCGACCUUCUGGGAGGAGCGUAGAGAGGCGGAGAAAGGCAGUCGGAAAUCAUAUUUAAACCAACAUUUCAACCGUCGCCUCUGUUUGUCAGUAGUGUGAGAAAACUUAAUCACGGAAGAAGCCUGGAUACUUAAACAAGCUUUGGAACUGCCUUUUUGUCCAACACGAGUGAGGAUGGACGCUGAAUACACUUGUAGCGCGAGGGUGUUGUACUUGUGUUUUCCAGGCCUACUUGUUCAGCUGAUGCAGCUUGGACACCAACAUCAGCUUACAGACCAACAGCUGUCACCACUUCGUCCACAACAUCGCCCACGAUUGCAGAGACAUGGUCCACGAUCGGAGAGACAUUGUUGAGGAUGAGGGAGACAUUGUCCACGAUCAGAGACAUUGUCCAUGACUCGUGGUGACUUGGUCCCCGAUAAGUCGGCACUGCCGGCGUUCAUAGAGACAUUGUCGAUGAUCGCCGAGACAUUGUCCAUAAUCUCAGAGACAUUGUCCGCGAUCACAGAGACAUAGUCCACGAUCACAGAGUGUCUUUUUGCAAUGAAGCAGUUCUUUGAGACCAGGACAGAGGCCUCCAGGUGUCACCACUUCGUCCACAACAUCGUCCACGAUUGCAGAGACAUGGUCCACGAUCGGAGAGACAUUGUUGAGGAUGGGGGAGACAUUGUCCACGAUCAGAGACAUUGUCCACGAUCGCAGAGACCUUGUCAAAGACGAGAGAGACGUUGUCCAUGAUCAGAGACAUUGUCCCAUGCUUCGCAGAGCUCUGCGCAAGAGUCGGUAGUGACACUGUGGUUCCUCGAUUCGACGGCAUGACCGCGAUCAUGGAGACAUUUGUCAAUGAUUACAGAGACACCGUCUAUGAUCUCAGAGACAUCGUCCACGAUCCCAAAGACAUUGCCCAUGGUUGCAGAGACAUUGUCCAUAAUCUCAGAGACAUUGUCCGCGGUCACAGAGACGUAGUCCACAAUCGCCGAGAUGUCGUCCACGAUCGCAGAGACAUGGUCCACGAUCGGAGAGACAUUGUUGAGGAUGAGGGAGACAUUGUUCACGAUCAAAGACAUUGUCCAUGACUCGUGGUGACUUGGUCCCCGAUAAGUCGGCACUGCCGGCGUUCAUAGAGACAUUGUCGAUGAUCGCAGAGACAUUGUCCAUAAUCUCAGAGACAUUGUCCGCGAUCACAGAGACGUAGCCCACGAUCACAGAGACGUAGUCCACGAUCACAGAGUGUCUUUUUGCAAUGAAGCAGUUCUUUGAGACCAGGACAGAGGCCUCCAGGUGUCACCACUUCGUCCACAAUAUCGUCCACGAUUGCAGAGACAUGGUCCACGAUCGGAGAGACAUUGUUGAGGAUGAGGGAGACAUUGUCCACGAUCAGAGACAUUGUCCAUGACUCGUGGUGACUUGGUCCCCGAUAAGUCGGCACUGCCGGCGUUCAUAGAGACAUUGUCGAUGAUCGCCGAGACAUUGUCCAUAAUCUCAGAGACAUUGUCCGCGAUCACAGAGACGUAGUCCACGAUCACAGAGUGUCUUUUUGCAAUGAAGCAGUUCUUUGAGACCAGGACAGAGGCCUCCAGGUGUCACCACUUCGUCCACAACAUCGUCCACGAUUGCAGAGACAUGGUCCACGAUUGGAGAGACAUUGUUGAGGAUGGGGGAGACAUUGUCCACGAUCAGAGACAUUGUCCACGAUCGCAGAGACCUUGUCAAAGACGAGAGAGACGUUGUCCAUGAUCAGAGACAUUGUCCCAUGCUUCGCAGAGCUCUGCGCAAGAGUCGGUAGUGACACUGUGGUUCCUCGAUUCGACGGCAUGACCGCGAUCAUGGAGACAUUUGUCAAUGAUUACAGAGACACCGUCUAUGAUCUCAGAGACAUCGUCCACGAUCCCAAAGACAUUGCCCAUGGUUGCAGAGACAUUGUCCAUAAUCUCAGAGACAUUGUCCGCGGUCACAGAGACGUAGUCCACAAUCGCCGAGAUGUCGUCCACGAUCGCAGAGACAUGGUCCACGAUCGGAGAGACAUUGUUGAGGAUGAGGGAGACAUUGUUCACGAUCAAAGACAUUGUCCAUGACUCGUGGUGACUUGGUCCCCGAUAAGUCGGCACUGCCGGCGUUCAUAGAGACAUUGUCGAUGAUCGCAGAGACAUUGUCCAUAAUCUCAGAGACAUUGUCCGCGAUCACAGAGACGUAGCCCACGAUCACAGAGACGUAGUCCACGAUCACAGAGUGUCUUUUUGCAAUGAAGCAGUUCUUUGAGACCAGGACAGAGGCCUCCAGGUGUCACCACUUCGUCCACAAUAUCGUCCACGAUUGCAGAGACAUGGUCCACGAUCGGAGAGACAUUGUUGAGGAUGAGGGAGACAUUGUCCACGAUCAGAGACAUUGUCCAUGACUCGUGGUGACUUGGUCCCCGAUAAGUCGGCACUGCCGGCGUUCAUAGAGACAUUGUCGAUGAUCGCCGAGACAUUGUCCAUAAUCUCAGAGACAUUGUCCGCGAUCACAGAGACGUAGUCCACGAUCACAGAGUGUCUUUUUGCAAUGAAGCAGUUCUUUGAGACCAGGACAGAGGCCUCCAGGUGUCACCACUUCGUCCACAACAUCGUCCACGAUUGCAGAGACAUGGUCCACGAUCGGAGAGACAUUGUUGAGGAUGGGGGAGACAUUGUCCACGAUCAGAGACAUUGUCCACGAUCGCAGAGACCUUGUCAAAGACGAGAGAGACGUUGUCCAUGAUCAGAGACAUUGUCCCAUGCUUCGCAGAGCUCUGCGCAAGAGUCGGUAGUGACACUGUGGUUCCUCGAUUCGACGGCAUGACCGCGAUCAUGGAGACAUUUGUCAAUGAUUACAGAGACACCGUCUAUGAUCUCAGAGACAUCGUCCACGAUCCCAAAGACAUUGCCCAUGGUUGCAGAGACAUUGUCCAUAAUCUCAGAGACAUUGUCCGCGGUCACAGAGACGUAGUCCACAAUCGCCGAGAUGUCGUCCACGAUCGCAGAGACAUGGUCCACGAUCGGAGAGACAUUGUUGAGGAUGAGGGAGACAUUGUUCACGAUCAAAGACAUUGUCCAUGACUCGUGGUGACUUGGUCCCCGAUAAGUCGGCACUGCCGGCGUUCAUAGAGACAUUGUCGAUGAUCGCAGAGACAUUGUCCAUAAUCUCAGAGACAUUGUCCGCGAUCACAGAGACGUAGCCCACGAUCACAGAGACGUAGUCCACGAUCACAGAGUGUCUUUUUGCAAUGAAGCAGUUCUUUGAGACCAGGACAGAGGCCUCCAGGUGUCACCACUUCGUCCACAAUAUCGUCCACGAUUGCAGAGACAUGGUCCACGAUCGGAGAGACAUUGUUGAGGAUGAGGGAGACAUUGUCCACGAUCAGAGACAUUGUCCAUGACUCGUGGUGACUUGGUCCCCGAUAAGUCGGCACUGCCGGCGUUCAUAGAGACAUUGUCGAUGAUCGCCGAGACAUUGUCCAUAAUCUCAGAGACAUUGUCCGCGAUCACAGAGACGUAGUCCACGAUCACAGAGUGUCUUUUUGCAAUGAAGCAGUUCUUUGAGACCAGGACAGAGGCCUCCAGGUGUCACCACUUCGUCCACAACAUCGUCCACGAUUGCAGAGACAUGGUCCACGAUCGGAGAGACAUUGUUGAGGAUGAGGGAGACAUUGUCCACGAUCAGAGACAUUGUCCACGAUCGCAGAGACCUUGUCAAAGACGAGAGAGACGUUGUCCAUGAUCAGAGACAUUGUCCCAUGCUUCGCAGAGCUCUGCGCAAGAGUCGGUAGUGACACUGUGGUUCCUCGAUUCGACGGCAUGACCGCGAUCAUGGAGACAUUUGUCAAUGAUUACAGAGACACCGUCUAUGAUCUCAGAGACAUCGUCCACGAUCCCAAAGACAUUGCCCAUGGUUGCAGAGACAUUGUCCAUAAUCUCAGAGACAUUGUCCGCGGUCACAGAGACGUAGUCCACAAUCGCCGAGAUGUCGUCCACGAUCGCAGAGACAUGGUCCACGAUCGGAGAGACAUUGUUGAGGAUGAGGGAGACAUUGUUCACGAUCAAAGACAUUGUCCAUGACUCGUGGUGACUUGGUCCCCGAUAAGUCGGCACUGCCGGCGUUCAUAGAGACAUUGUCGAUGAUCGCAGAGACAUUGUCCAUAAUCUCAGAGACAUUGUCCGCGAUCACAGAGACUUAGUCCACGAUCACAGAGUGUCUUUGUGCAAUGAAGCAGUUCUUUGAGACCAGGACAGAGGCCUCCAGAAUUCACGGAAACAACAGGAUCCACCAAUGGUGAAAG